UAAAGCAAUUAAGGGCGUAUGGUGAAUGCCUAGACGACAAGAGGCGAUGAAGGACGUGGUAAGCUGCGAUAAGCUACGGGGAGCUGCACACGAGCAUUAUAUCCGUAGAUUUCCGAAUGGGACAACCCGCUAUGUUGAAGACAUAGCACUCGAAAGAGAGCCAACCCGGAGAACUGAAACAUCUAAGUACCCGGAGGAAAAGAAAAUAACAAAUGAUUCCCCAAGUAGUGGCGAGCGAACGGGGACUAGCCCAAACCAGGGAGGCGUGCUUCCCUGGGGUUGUAGGACUGCAUUUAGAAAGCAUUAUCAAGCCGAAUUAUCUGGAAAGUUAGACCAAAGAGGGUGAAAGUCCUGUAGGCAGAAAUUAAUGUAGACGCGCAGUAUCCUGAGUAGGGCGGGACCAGAGAAAUCCUGUCUGAAUCUGCCGGUACCAUCCGGUAAGGCUAAAUACUCCUUGUCGAUCGAUAGUGAACCAGUACCGUAAGGGAAAGGUGAAAAGUACCCUGGAUAAGGGAGUGAAAUAGUACCUGAAACCGUACGCCUACAAGCGGUCGGAGCGGAGCAAUCUGUGACGGCGUGCCUUUUGCAUAAUGAUCCUACGAGUUGCACCUCACUAGCAAGGUUAAGUACUUAAGUUACGGAGCCGCAGCGAAAGCGAGUCCGAAUAGGGCGAUUUAGUUAGUGGGGGCAGACGCGAAACUUUGUGAUCUAUCCAUGGGCAGGAUGAAGGUGUGGUAACACACACUGGAGGUCCGAACGGGUUAACGUUGAAAAGUUAUCCGAUGACCUGUGGAUAGGGGUGAAAGGCCAAUCAAACUGAGAGAUAGCUCGUUCUCUCCGAAAUGUUUUUAGGAACAGCGUCGCAUAUAAGAAGUCUAUUAGAGGUAGAGCUACUGAUUGGACUAGGGGGCUUCACCGCCUACCAAAUCCUGACAAACUCCGAAUGCUAAUAGAUAUCUGCGGCAGUGAGGCUGUGGGCGCUAAGGUCCAUGGCCGAGAGGGGAACAACCCAGACUAUCAGCUAAGGCCCCUAAAUCUACGUUAAGUUGGUUAAACGAUGUUCAAACCCUAAGACAGCCAGGAUGUUGGCUUGGAAGCAGCCAUUCAUUUAAAGAGUGCGUAACAGCUCACUGGUCGAGGGUUCGGGCGCGGAAAAUGAUCGGGCAUCAAACGUAGUGCCGAAGCU
rnacentral:rRNA from 1 species